rnacentral:tRNA from 1 species
GGAAGGGUGGCCGAGUCGGUCUAAGGCAGUCGCCUGCUAAGCGACUGACCCUCCAAAAGGGGGUCCGUGGGUUCAAAUCCCACCCCUUCCG